GUCGACGGCAGCACGGGAGCAAUCCUGGUGGCGAGUGGCGAACGGGUGAGUAAUAUAUCGGAACGUGCCCAGUCGUGGGGGAUAACGCAGCGAAAGCUGUGCUAAUACCGCAUACGAUCUAAGGAUGAAAGCGGGGGAUCGCAAGACCUCGCGCGAUUGGAGUGGCCGAUAUCAGAUUAGCUAGUUGGUGGGGUAAAAGCUUACCAAGGCGACGAUCUGUAGCUGGUCUGAGAGGACGACCAGCCACACUGGAACUGAGACACGGUCCAGACUCCUACGGGAGGCAGCAGUGGGGAAUUUUGGACAAUGGGCGCAAGCCUGAUCCAGCAAUGCCGCGUGCAGGAUGAAGGCCUUCGGGUUGUAAACUGCUUUUGUACGGAGCGAAAAGGCACUCACUAAUACUGGGUGUUAAUGACGGUACCGUAAGAAUAAGCACCGGCUAACUACGUGCCAGCAGCCGCGGUAAUACGUAGGGUGCGAGCGUUAAUCGGAAUUACUGGGCGUAAAGCGUGCGCAGGCGGUUUUGUAAGACAGAUGUGAAAACCCCGGGCUCAACCUGGGAACUGCAUUUGUGACUGCAAGACUGGAGUACGGCAGAGGGGGAUGGAAUUCCGCGUGUAGCAGUGAAAUGCGUAGAUAUGCGGAGGAACACCGAUGGCGAAGGCAUCCCCUGGCCUGUACUGACGCUCAUGCACGAGCGUGCGGGCAAACAGGAUUAGAUACCCUGGUAGUCCACGCCCUAAACGAUGUCAACUGGUUGUUGGGUCUUAACUGACUCA
rnacentral:rRNA from 1 species